CACGAACCGGACAAACGUUAUUCGGAAUUAUUGGGAUUAAAGGGUGCGUAGGCGGUGCGGUAAGUGAGGUGUGAAAGCCCUCGGCUCAACCGAGGAAUUGCGCUUCAUACUGCCGUGCUGGAGGGAGACAGGGGUAAGCGGAACUGAUGGUGGAGCGGUGAAAUGCGUUGAUAUCAUCAGGAACACCGGUGGCGAAAGCGGCUUACUGGGUCUUCUCUGACGCUGAGGCACGAAAGCUAGGGUAGCGAACGGG
rnacentral:rRNA from 1 species